GCGACCCCAGGUCAGGCGGGAUCACCCGCUGAGUUUAAGCAUAUCAAUAAGUAGAGGAAAAGAAACUUACAAGGAUUUCCUCAGUAAUGGCGAGCGAACUGGGAAUAGCCUAACUUGAGAAUCGGACGACCACGCUAUUUGAAUUGUAUUUUGGAGAAGCGCUCUUAGCAGCGGAUCGGGGUCGAGUCCCCUGGAAUGGGGCGCCUUUAUGGGUGAGAGCCCCAUUGCUCCUGGACCCUGUCACACCACGAGGCACUGUUGGCGAGUCGGGUUGUUUGGGAAUGCAGCACCAAUCGGGCGGUAAAUUCCAUCCAAGGCUAAAUACAGGCGAGAGACCGAUAUCUAAAAAGUACCGUGAGGGAAAGAUGAAAAGGACUUUGAAAAGAGAGUCAAAGAGUGCUUGAAAUUAUUGGGAGGGAAGCAGAUGGGGGCCGGUGAUACGUCUCGGUCAGAUGUGGAAUGGCAAGAGCCGGUCCACCAAUCGACUCGGGGCGCGGACCAGCACGGAUCGAUGCAGCGCUCAAAGCUUGGGUGGUCGAUAUGCUCGUUGUAUGGCAUCGCGCCGAUCCAGGUGGACAGCGCGCGCCUCAUGCGUGCCUCGGUAACUGGCCUGCGAGCUCCCCAUUCGACCUGUCUUGAAACACGUACUAAGGAGUCUGACAUGUGCGCGAGUCAAUGGGCGAUUGAACUCGUAAGGCGCAAGGAAGCAGACCGGUGUGAUCCCCCCAAGGGGUGCACCGCCGACCAACCUUCAUCUUCUGAGAAGGGUUCGAGUGAGCGUACCUGUCGGGAUCCGAAAGAUGGUGAACUAUGCCUGAGCAGGGCGAAGCUAGAGGAAACUUUGGUGGAGGCCCACAGCGAUACUGACGUGCAAAUCAUUCUUCUGACUUGGGUAUAAGGGCGAAAGACUAAUCGAACCGUGUAGUAGCUAGUUCCCUCCGAAGUUUCCCUCAGGAUAUCUGGAGCUCUAGUGCGAGUUCUAUCGGGUAAAGCUAAUGAUUAGAGGCAUCGGGAGUGCAACGCCCUCGACCUAUUCUCAAACUUUAAUAGGUAGGACGGCAUGGCUACUCCGUUGAGCGGCGCUGGAGAAUCGUGAGUUCAAGUGGGCCAUUUUUGGUAAGCAGAACUGGAAAUGCAGGAUGAACCGGAAGCUCGGUUAAAGUGCCCAACUGCGCGCUAACCUAAAUCCCACAAAGGGUGUUGGUCAAUUAAGACAGCAGGACGGUGGUCAUGGAAGUUGAAAUCCGCUAAGGAGUGUGUAACAACUCACUUGCCGAAUCAACUAGCCCAAAAAAUGGAUGGCGCUAAAGCGUGCGACCUAUACUCGGCCGUUGGGGCAAGGGCUAAGCCCCGAUGAGUACGAGGGCACAGCAGUCACUGUAAAACAAUAGGCGCGAGCCCGGGCGGAGCGACCGUCGGUGCGGAUCUUGGUGGUAGUAGCAAAUAUUCAAAUGAGAACUUUGAAGGCCAAAGAGGGGAAAGGUUCCAUGUGAACGGAACUUGUACAUGAGUUAAAAUUCCCGAACUGAGACGCUGUGGUUGACGGCAAUGUUAGGGAGUCUAGAGACAUCGUAGGGGCCUCGGGAAGAGUUAUCUUUUCUGUUUAACAGCCCGCCUACCCUGGAAAUGGCUCAGUCGAAGGUAGGGUCCAGCGGCUAGAAGUGCAUCGCACGUCGCGUGGUGUCCAGUAUGCCCCGAUGGACCUUGAAAAUCCAGAGGAUCGAGUACCGUCCGCGCCCGGUCAUACUCAUAAUCGCAUCAGGUCUCCAAGAUGAACAGCCUCUGGUCGAUGGAACAACGUAGGUAAGGGAAGUCGGCAAAAUGGAUCCAUAACCUCGGGAAAAGGAUUGACUUUGAGGGCUGGGCACGUGGGUCCCAGUCCUGAACCCGUCGGCUAUCGGCGAACUGCUCGAGCUGCUCGCGCGGCGAGAGCGGGUCGUCAGACAGAUUGGGAACGGCUCCCUCAGGGGCCUUCCCCGGGCAUCGAACAGUCAACUCAGAACUGGUACAGACAAGGGGAAUCCGACUAUUUAAUUUAAACAAAGCAUUACGAUGGUCCCUGUAGAUGCUCACGCAAUUUGAUUUCUACCCAGUGCUCUGAAUGUCAAAGUGAAGAAAUUCAACCAAGCGCGGGUAAACGGCAGGAGUAAUUAUGACUCUCUUAAGGUAGUCAAAUACCUCUUCAUCUAAUUAGUGACAUGCAUGAAUGGAUUAACGAGAUUCCCACUGUCCCAGUCUACUAUCCUGCGAAACCAAAUCCAAGGGAACGGGCAUGGCAGAAUCAGCGGGGAAAGAAGACCCUGUUGAGCUUGACUCUAAUCUGACUUUGUGAAAUGACUUGAGAGGUGUAGGAUAAGUGGGAGCCAAAAGUCAAAAGUGAAAUACCACUACUUUGAACGUUAUUUUACUUAUUCCGUGAAUCAGAGGUGGGGCAUUGCCCUCUUUUUGGACCCAAGGCUCGCCCCGGUGGGCCGAUCUAGGCAGAAGACAUUGUCAGGUAGGGAGUUUGGCUGGGGCAGCACAUCUGUUAAAAGAUAACGCAGGUGUCCUAAGAUGAGCUCAACGAGAAUAGAAAUCUCGUAUGGUAUAGAAGGGUAAAAGCUCAUUUGAUUCUAAUUUCCAGUACGAAUACGAACCGUGAAAGCAUGGCCUAACGAUCCUUUAGACCUUCAAAAUUUUAAGCUAGAGGUGUCAGAAAAGUUACCACAGGGAUAACUGGCUUGUGGCAGCUAAACGUUCAUGGCAACAUUACUUUUUAAUCCUUCGAUGUCGGGUCUUCCUAUCAUUGUGAAGCAUAAUUCACCAAGUGUUGGAUUGUUCACCCACCAAUAGGGAACGUGAACUGGGUUUAGACCGUCAUGAGACAGGUUAGUUUUACCCUACUGAUGAUGGUGUUGUAAUAGUAAUUCAACCUAGUACGAGAGGAACUGUUGAUUCGCACAAUUGUUCAUCACACUUGGUUGAAAAGCCAGUGGCACGAAGCUACCGUGCACUGGAUUAUAAUCGAAUGCCUCUAAGUCAGAAUCUGAGCUAGACACGAUGCAUGUGCCCAUCGUCCGCUCCCUGACCCACAGUAGGGGCCUCCGAACCCCAAGGGCACAUGUUGUUGGCCAAGCCCCCACAGCGGACGAGCCACGUGGGCCGCCUCGAAGUAUAAUUCCAAUCGAACAAC
rnacentral:rRNA from 1 species